UUCUUCUUCCAUGGCUGUUUCCAUGUUCUCUCAGCUGCAUCUGCAUCCACUGCUUCAUGGUAACAACAAAAUCUCUUUGUCUCUGCAAUCCCAACAAAAGUUUCAUUCACCAUCCAAGGCUAUUAGUAUUAUUCAGUGUUGCUCGAGUUCUUCCAACCACAGCAUCAAGCUCAGAACUUGCAAGAACUGCAAAUCUCAAUUCGACCCUUCACUCAAUCACCCUCUUGCUUGUCACUUUCACACUGCCCAUUUUGGGGGAGAAACUAAGAGGAAGUUUGAGAGUGUUUAUGAAGGGGGCACCAUGAACACUCCUGAUUCCGGCAAAGUUUUUCAGUAUUGGCAUUGCUGCGGAUCCGAAGAUCCCUUCCAUCCUGGCUGCACUUCUGCACCUCACUCCUCUUAUGAUGACUGAUGUUCAUCAAUGUCUCUUCUUUAACUCUUCAAUUAAAAUUCUUUUAGCUAAUAUACACUUAUCAUGACUCAAUGCUAGAAAGGAUUCAGGGACUAAUAUGGUGCCUGGAGUCGGAUCUCGGGGAUCAGUAUAGUAAAUUUUGAAUCUGAAGGACUAAAAUGUUUGCACCGUAAACCACUUAUAAGUAGCUAUAACAACCAUCAUCACAAUUUCCUUGUAAAAAAGAGUUGAUUUAGAGAUCCCAACUCGACUUAUUAUCAAUGGAGGCAGCCAAGCUUUCAUGGAAGCCGAUCUUCUUCAAGAGCCUAAUUCGCUGGCGGUGCAUGCCACGAUGCAAGAUUGUUGGGAUGAGCUACUCUGGUGGCGGCGAUGAUCAGGACUAUUAUCUAGGAAGGUCAUGUGGCAUAACGUAAUUGAAUGCAAUAAGAGAAGUACUUAUAUGUUUACUACGACAAAGAUGUAUUUGAAGCAUUAGGGUUAUUGGAAUGUUGUUUGUGGAGCCUAAGACCAAGUGUUGCAUUAGGGAUGCUCACAUUUGUUGCUUUGAGUGUGAUGAUAUCUUUUGGUGUAAGAUUGUUUCAUGCCAUGGAGAUUGAUAUAUAUCUUGUUUUGGCUAAACUAAGAUAAGAGAAAAUAAUAGAAUAUCUAGCUAGGUAGAAGAAACUAAUGAUUAUUAGUUGAAAUGAAGAAACAAAGCUACCAUAUGUAGAUUCAAUUGCUUCCUUUUUUGUGUUAUAUACCAAUAUUACUAUUAGAAUUGUAAUGACUCUACACAUUAUAGUUUCUUAUUUGU